CCCGAUUAGCUCAGCUGGUAGAGCGCGACCGUUCGUCACGACCGAGUGGCAAUGGCCGAGGGCGCGGGUUCGAGUCCCGCAUUGGGCU
rnacentral:tRNA from 1 species